rnacentral:rRNA from 1 species
CCCUUACCGAACUCGGAAGUGAAACGUCUUAGCGCCAAUGGUAGUGUAGGGAUUCCCUAUGCGAGAGUAGGUCAUCGCCA